GUUUCGGCAAGGGGGUCAUCCCGACUUACCAACCCGAUGCAAACUGCGAAUACCGGAGAAUGUUAUCACGGGAGACACACGGCGGGUGCUAACGUCCGUCGUGAAGAGGGAAACAACCCAGACCGCCAGCUAAGGUCCCAAAGUCAUGGUUAAGUGGGAAACGAUGUGGGAAGGCCCAGACAGCCAGGAUGUUGGCUUAGAAGCAGCCAUCAUUUAAAGAAAGCGUAAUAGCUCACUGGUCGAGUCGGCCUGCGCGGAAGAUGUAACGGGGCUAAACCAUGCACCGAAGCUGCGGCAGCGACGCUUAUGCGUUGUUGGGUAGGGGAGCGUUCUGUAAGCCUGUGAAGGUGUGCUGUGAGGCAUGCUGGAGGUAUCAGAAGUGCGAAUGCUGACAUAAGUAACGAUAAAGCGGGUGAAAAGCCCGCUCGCCGGAAGACCAAGGGUUCCUGUUCAACGUUAAUCGGGGCAGGGUGAGUCGACCCCUAAGGCGAGGCCGAAAGGCGUAGUCGAUGGGAAACAGGUUAAUAUUCCUGUACUUGGUGUUACUGCGAAGGGGGGACGGAGAAGGCUAUGUUGGCCGGGCGACGGUUGUCCCGGUUUAAGCGUGUAGGCUGGUUUUCCAGGCAAAUCCGGAAAAUCAAGGCUGAGGCGUGAUGACGAGGCACUACGGUGCUGAAGCAACAAAUGCCCUGCUUCCAGGAAAAGCCUCUAAGCAUCAGGUAACAUCAAAUCGUACCCCAAACCGACACAGGUGGUCAGGUAGAGAAUACCAAGGCGCUUGAGAGAACUCGGGUGAAGGAACUAGGCAAAAUGGUGCCGUAACUUCGGGAGAAGGCACGCUGAUAUGUAGGUGAAGUCCCUCGCGGAUGGAGCUGAAAUCAGUCGAAGAUACCAGCUGGCUGCAACUGUUUAUUAAAAACACAGCACUGUGCAAACACGAAAGUGGACGUAUACGGUGUGACGCCUGCCCGGUGCCGGAAGGUUAAUUGAUGGGGUCAGCGCAAGCGAAGCUCUUGAUCGAAGCCCCGGUAAACGGCGGCCGUAACUAUAACGGUCCUAAGGUAGCGAAAUUCCUUGUCGGGUAAGUUCCGACCUGCACGAAUGGCGUAAUGAUGGCCAGGCUGUCUCCACCCGAGACUCAGUGAAAUUGAACUCGCUGUGAAGAUGCAGUGUACCCGCGGCAAGACGGAAAGACCCCGUGAACCUUUACUAUAGCUUGACACUGAACAUUGAGCCUUGAUGUGUAGGAUAGGUGGGAGGCUUAGAAGUGUGGACGCCAGUCUGCAUGGAGCCGACCUUGAAAUACCACCCUUUAAUGUUUGAUGUUCUAACGUUGACCCGUAAUCCGGGUUGCGGACAGUGUCUGGUGGGUAGUUUGACUGGGGCGGUCUCCUCCUAAAGAGUAACGGAGGAGCACGAAGGUUGGCUAAUCCUGGUCGGACAUCAGGAGGUUAGUGCAAUGGCAUAAGCCAGCUUGACUGCGAGCGUGACGGCGCGAGCAGGUGCGAAAGCAGGUCAUAGUGAUCCGGUGGUUCUGAAUGGAAGGGCCAUCGCUCAACGGAUAAAAGGUACUCCGGGGAUAACAGGCUGAUACCGCCCAAGAGUUCAUAUCGACGGCGGUGUUUGGCACCUCGAUGUCGGCUCAUCACAUCCUGGGGCUGAAGUAGGUCCCAAGGGUAUGGCUGUUCGCCAUUUAAAGUGGUACGCGAGCUGGGUUUAGAACGUCGUGAGACAGUUCGGUCCCUAUCUGCCGUGGGCGCUGGAGAACUGAGGGGGGCUGCUCCUAGUACGAGAGGACCGGAGUGGACGCAUCACUGGUGUUCGGGUUGUCAUGCCAAUGGCACUGCCCGGUAGCUAAAUGCGGAAGAGAUAAGUGCUGAAAGCAUCUAAGCACGAAACUUGCC
rnacentral:rRNA from 1 species